rnacentral:ncRNA from 1 species
GCGUUCCUCACUGGAGAGAGGCGGGGCGGACCAUCGGUCGAGCCCGUCCACCGAAGGGGCAAGCCGCCGGUCAACCACCGACGGCCAAUCUCUCAGGUAAAGCGGACAGCGAGGGCAUA